UGCUGACAGUCGCGGUGGGGCAGUUUCCGAGCGUGUCUUCUCUGGAAGAGUCGCCUCAGACCCGCUUCUCAGAGUGGGAUCUAGGGGCGGGGGCGAGGCCAUCCCUGUCCCGCCCGGGGAAGGUGAGGCUCGGCGGCGGGGACCUCCCCCCGCGAUCAGAACGCGUGGUCACCAGGCCUUUGGGUCGGCUGGUGACUUCCCCCGUGCGCCUUACCUCCGGAGAUGCCCCUGGACGGAAGACGGAUGCUCGAGAGGUGACGGCACCGGCGGGGCCAGGACGCCGGAAGCCCCCUCCCACGCGGCCCCCUCUGAGGGGCCUCCUGUGGGCCAGCGCCACGCGCUGCGGCGCCUUGACGCGCGGAUCGGGCCCGGGAGCCGGAGGGGCGGCGUACGAGCCCCGGAGCUGGGGAGGCCGCCCGUGACCCCAGGCUGGAGCCCGGCGCUGUGGGGUGUCUGUCCCACGCGGCACCUCGCCCUGCGUCUGAGCGCCGGCGGAGGGGUUGUGCGCGGACGCGGAGUGCGGGAGUGGUCGGCCGCCGCCGCCGCCUCGAGUCUCCGCGAGGGCGAGAAUAGGUGGAGACGGGAACGGACCGGGGGGAAGCCAGAGCCAGUCCGUCGCUGAGAGCCAGUCCGUCGCUGAGCCAGUCUCGUACAGACGAGAAACCGACAGUCACGUUAGCGGUUCGAACAACCCUUCAAGACCGUAUCUCAGAUGUUUUAGAGGUCACUGUCGGUUACUUCUUUGGGGUCCCCCCCCCAUACCUCGGGCAAAGGAGAGAAUGAAAUGCAGCUUCCAACCAAUCGAGCGCACGCACACCUACAGAAGUGGAAACGGUGCGCGUUUGACCCUACUGCCCUGUCGCAGUUACUAAACACAUCACGAAGGAGUAGGACUCGCUUUCUUUUCUCCCCGGGUGUAUGAAUGGGAAUCACAACACGCAUAUUUCUUGUGAUGGAGCUUGACUCCCUCGAGUUGGCUGGAUUGGUGACUGAGUAUGCAAAGAGAAAAAUGGUAACUCGACAGCAGAGGAAACUGGCAGACACCACCCUUACCGCCUGAUGGAGGCUAACAUCAUUAGUAAUGUCAUGUUCACACCAGGUAUGAGCACACGGCAACAAAACUGUUCUGGGAUGUCCUUUCCCAAAACCCCCAACUUCACUCAUCACAAAAAAAAAAAAAAAAAAAAAAAGAGAGAGAGAGAGAAAAGAAAAA